rnacentral:misc_RNA from 1 species
AAACACAAAACCCCAAACAACAGAUGAAUGAAAAACAAGAUUGAGAAAAGCAGAGCAAGGAAGAAAACGGAGUACCUGAAAGUUUAUAGUCAAAAUUUAAAGGAGCUACAGUUGAAUAUGAUGAGAGACAAACGUGCAAACAUUGAUGAAAGUGAAGUUGUGGGGGGUGGGGUUAUAGGGGAAAAAAUGGGAUUUUGGAGAGAAGGUGAAUUUCCCGCUGAAAAUGGCGGUGAUUACGGUUGAAUUUGUAAGAGAAAAUGAAAAUAACUUGUACUGAUAUGAAA